rnacentral:rRNA from 1 species
UGGGGAAUAUUGGACAAUGGGCGCAAGCCUGAUCCAGCAAUGCCGCGUGUGUGAAGAAGGCCUUCGGGUUGUAAAGCACUUUUAUCAGGAGCGAAACGCUGUCGGCUAAUACCCGGCGGAACUGACGGUACCUGAGGAAUAAGCACCGGCUAACUUCGUGCCAGCAGCCGCGGUAAUACGAAGGGUGCAAGCGUUAAUCGGAAUUACUGGGCGUAAAGCGUGCGUAGGCGGUUUCUUAAGUCUGCUGUGAAAUCCCCGGGCUCAACCUGGGAAUGGCAGUGGAUACUGGGAGGCUAGAGUGUGUCAGAGGGUGGUGGAAUUCCCGGUGUAGCGGUGAAAUGCGUAGAGAUCGGGAGGAACAUCAGUGGCGAAGGCGGCCACCUGGGACAACACUGACGCUGAGGCACGAAAGCGUGGGGAGCAAACAGGAUUAGAUACCCUGGUAGUCCACGCCCUAAAGCGAUGCGAACUGGAUGUUGGUCUCAACUCGGAGAUCAGUGUCGAAGCUAACGCGUUAAGUUCGCCGCCUGGGGAGUACGGUCGCAAGAUU